GAUUUUGAUUUUGUUUUAUUUUGUUGAAAAGCCCAAAAGUUGUCUGUUUCAUGAGAGAGAAGAAGAGGGGAAGGACACCAACUGUACACUUUACAUUACAUGCACACAUGAAAUGAAAUAAAAUAAAACAAAAUAAAGGAAACCAAAAAUUCCCUUUAAAUGUUUUUCCCAACACUUUUUUGUUGUAUUAUACAAUAAUCCUCCCUUUCCUCCUCAAUAAAUCCUCAUCACCAACCCCUCUCCAUUCCCUCCCCCUCUGCUCCUGCUUCCCCCUCUCUCUCUCUCUCUCUCUCUCUCUCUAAGAAGAUGAGAUGAGAUGAGUGAGAGGAAAAUGUGCUCGUUUGUGACAAGAUGGGCCGAAGACUGCACCCUCCCUCUCUCUCUCUCUAAAAGGAAAAAGACAAGAUGGGCAGAAGACUGUUCUCUCUCUCUCUCUAAAAGGAAAAAAGAUUGGAGGAUGGAGAGGAGCAUGUAUGCAUGGUAUCCUCACCAUUAAUUUACUUAUUUGAUUGCUCAUUCUCAUCUUAUUAUUCCUUUCAUAAUAUUCCUUCCUUAUUCAGCCUGAGGUUGCAUAUGAAUUCAAAUCUUCCCUUGUUUUCUUUUUCCCUUUGUGACCAAUGAAGUAUCAAUAAAUAGUGGAAACAAGUUUACUAGUUCA